UGGCUGUGGAGGUGGUGGUUGAUGCUGCUGUAUUGGUGGGAGAGGUUGAUGUUGCUGAGGAGGUUGAUGCUGUUGAGGAGGUGUUGGUUGAUGUUGAGGUGGCGGUGGCGGUGGCGGAU